GACGAACGCUGGCGGCGUGCUUAACACAUGCAAGUCGAGCGGAGCGGCGAACGGGUGAGUAACGCGUGAGUAAAUGCCCCCCUCUCUGGGAUAACAGUUGGAAACGGAUGCUAAUACCGGAUAGUGGGGGAUGGCUGGCGUCCUAGCAGCUUGUUGGUGGGGUAGUGGCGUACAAAGGCGACGACGGGUGGCCGGCCUGAGAGGGCGACCGGCCACAUUGGGCUGAGAUACGGCCCAAACUGCUACGGGAGGCAGCAGUGGGGAAUAGUGCACAAUGGGGGGAGCCCUGAUGCAGCAACGCCGCGUGCGAGAUGACGGCCUUCGGGUUGUAAACCGCUUUCGGCCAUGACGCGGUAGUGGCAGAAGAAGCACCGGCUAACUACGUGCCAGCAGCCGCGGUAAUAC
rnacentral:rRNA from 1 species